CGAACGCUGGCGGCAGGCCUAACACAUGCAAGUCGAGCGCGCCCUUCGGGGUGAGCGGCGGACGGGUUAGUAACGCGUGGGAACGUGCCCUUUGGUACGGAAUAGCCUCUGGAAACGGAGAGUAAUACCGUAUGAGCCCUUCGGGGGAAAGAUUUAUCGCCAAAGGAUCGGCCCGCGUUAGAUUAGGUAGUUGGUGGGGUAAUGGCCUACCAAGCCUACGAUCUAUAGCUGGUUUUAGAGGAUGAUCAGCAACACUGGGACUGAGACACGGCCCAGACUCCUACGGGAGGCAGCAGUGGGGAAUCUUGGACAAUGGGGGCAACCCUGAUCCAGCCAUGCCGCGUGAGUGAUGAAGGCCUUAGGGUCGUAAAGCUCUUUCGCCUGUGAAGAUAAUGACGGUAGCAGGUAAAGAAACCCCGGCUAACUCCGUGCCAGCAGCCGCGGUAAUACGGAGGGGGUUAGCGUUGUUCGGAAUUACUGGGCGUAAAGCGCACGUAGGCGGACCAAAAAGUUGGGGGUGAAAUCCCGGGGCUCA
rnacentral:rRNA from 1 species